rnacentral:lncRNA from 10 species
GGCAUGAGCCACCCCGCCCGGCCCACGCCCAUUUCUAAAGAUGAAAUAGUUCAAUGGGACAGAAUUAAGGAAUUUCUCUUUUAUAAAACACCCAAUUAGUGACAGUGAUGGAAUCAGGACCAAAAUCUGUGUUUAGGUAAGAUACAGGUUUGGCUGCUGUGAAAAAGACCUAAAAUACCAUGCUAGAAGAUGGUCGACAUUUUAGAUCUUAUAUAAAAGUCAGCUGGUUUAAGGUACCAGCAAUAUUUCAGGAACCCACAAUUCUAUCUUCUGGCUCCACAAUUCUUAAGGUUUGUCCUUGUUUGGAUGUCCAAGAUGGCAACAGUAAAAAGCGAUGGCGUGUCCCUUCCUUUGAGAUAACAGUUCGCAGGUCUGGUGGCACAUUAGAAUCAUUGCAGAGACUUUUUAAGAAAUAUUGAUCCCCAGUCCCUACCUGUGAGAGAUUCUCACACAGUUGAUCUGACAGAAGGUCAAGAUGUUGAUUUUUUUUGGCAUUAUAAUACAUCCACAAAUUAAUAUUUAUUUAUUUAUUUAUCUUUAAACUUUUAUUUUAGGUUCAGGGCUACAUGUGCAGGUUUGUUAUAUAGGUAAACUUGCGUCAUGGAGGUUUGAUGUAGAGAUUAUUUCAUUACCUAGGUACUAAGCCUAGUACCCAAUACCCAAUAGUUAUUUUUUUCUUUUUCUCUCCCUCCUAUUUGUUUUUAAACAAAUGGUUUUUUUCUUUUUUUUUUUGAGACAGAAUGUCACUCUGUCCCCCAGGCUGGAGUGCAGUGGUGCCAUCUUGGCUCACUGCAAGCUCCGCCUCCCGGGUUCCCGCCAUUCUCCUGCCUCAGCCUCCUGAGUAGCCGGACUACAGGCGCCGGCCACCCCACCGCGCUAAUUUUUUUGUAUUUUUUAGUAGAGACGGGGUUUUGUGUCCGGAAUUGGUGGGUUCUUGGUCUCACUGACUUCAAGAAUGAAGCCGCGGACCCUCGCAGUGAGUGCUACAGCUUUUAAGGUGGCGCCUUUGGAGUUUGUUCCUUCUGAUGUUCGGAUGUGUUCGGAGUUUCUUCCUUCUGGUGGGUUCGUGAUCUCGCUGGCUCAGGAGUGAAGCUGCAGACCUUCACGGGGAGUGUUACAGCUCUUAAGGUGGCACAUCUGGAGUUUGUUCCUUCUGACGUUCAGAUGUGUUCGGAGUUUCUUCCUUCUGGUGGGUUCGUGAUCUCGCUGGCUCAGGAGUGAAGCUGCAGACCUUCAGGGGGAGUGUUACAGCUCUUAAGGUGGCGCGUCUGGAGUUUCUUCCUUCUGGUGGGUUCGUGAUCUCGCUGGCUCAGGAGUGAAGCUGCAGACCUUCACGGUGAGUGUUACAGCUCUUAAGGUGGCGCGUCUGGAGUUUGUUCCUUCUGAUGUUCAGAUGUGUUCGGAGUUUCUUCCUUCUGGUGGGUUCGUGAUCUCGCUGGCUCAGGAGUGAAGCUGCAGACCUUCAGGGUGAGGGUUACAGCUCUUAAGGCAGAGCGUCUGGAGUUGUUCCUUCCUCCCGGUGGGCUGGCUGGGCUCAGGAGUGAAGCUGCAGAUCUUUGCGGUGAGUGUUACAGCUC